rnacentral:lncRNA from 1 species
AAUCCCCUGUCACAUCAGGACAAAGGUGAACAACAGAACGGGAAGAUUUGGGUUCAUGAAUCCAGAAGCCAGUCAAUCAAUCAUUAUGACCCAUCUGGUGAAAGGUACCAGAGCGUGGACGAACACAAUCAGAGUGACUUUCCUCCGCUGUCCACCGCGGGGCGUGGACUUCUACCACACCCCACCGGGCCCCCGGCCUCAGGGAAGCUGCACGGCCAGUGGGAGAUUCCCCUUCCAAUCCGCCCACACAACCCCCCCGCUGACACGCUGGCUAGCGCUCCGGCGUCCGUCCAAGGCGGAGCAGAAGCACCUCGGGCAGCUUCCAAAACCUUCGCACCACCGGCAGCCCGGACGCAGCGGGGACCAUAUGACCUGCUGGCUGACUUCCCAGCUCUGCAGCCCCCGACGAGACCUUUAGCGCUGGGCGAGCGGCACGGUGGGAAUCCCAAAAGCAGAGACGCUGUGGGGGAAAGAGAGAUUAUUCAACGACCAAAUGAUGGCCAGGAGGCCAAGGCUGUUGCAGGUGCAGAUGGCGCAGGCGUUAAUGCCAGGUCCUGGGCCUGCGCUGCCAAAGCAGGCAUGAAGCAAGCAGCUGCCCCUCAGGAGAGAGCCAGACCUUGUAGCUUUCAGCAGCUAGUUACCAUUAACAGAGCCAAAGCUGUCAAUCAGAGCGCCACCAACAAAGGGGCUCCGUCGUUCAUCGGCUGUCAGGCUCCGGCUCGGGGAGUCGGUCCUCUGGAGGCCGGUUCAUGUCGUGACCCCAACCGGUUCGUCAGACUUGUUUACCCUCCAUCCCAGCAGCUCUCACUACGACAGUGCUUCUCCAGGCGGCGACGGCUCCUUCCUGUCAGCCUCUCACUGAGCCAUAGAAAAACCAACGAAGAAGAAUUAAAACCUUUCUGAAACAUUUCAAAACACAGCUGCUGCUAAACCGUCUAUCACAUACAGUAUUUGUACUUGUAGCGUGUCCUUGGAAGUUAUUAGAACUGCGCUGCAUGUGUUUGUUAAGUCGUCUGCGCCCGGCGGAUGUGUCGAUUCGGCUGUGAAUUGCAUAUCGGUUUAUUUUGUCGGUUUAUUAUGUCGUCCAAUAAAAAAAGAUUUUAACAGCUACGGCUAAUUUCC